rnacentral:rRNA from 1 species
GAUGAACGCUGGCGGCGUGCCUAAUACAUGCAAGUCGAGCGAACGGACGAGAAGCUUGCUUCUCUGAUGUUAGCGGCGGACGGGUGAGUAACACGUGGAUAACCUACCUAUAAGACUGGGAUAACUUCGGGAAACCGGAGCUAAUACCGGAUAAUAUUUUGAACCGCAUGGUUCAAAAGUGAAAGACGGUCUUGCUGUCACUUAUAGAUGGAUCCGCGCUGCAUUAGCUAGUUGGUAAGGUAACGGCUUACCAAGGCAACGAUGCAUAGCCGACCUGAGAGGGUGACCGGCCACACUGGAACUGAGACACGGUCCAGACUCCUACGGGAGGCAGCAGUAGGGAAUCUUCCGCAAUGGGCGAAAGCCUGACGGAGCAACGCCGCGUGAGUGAUGAAGGUCUUCGGAUCGUAAAACUCUGUUAUUAGGGAAGAACAUAUGUGUAAGUAACUGUGCACAUCUUGACGGUACCUAAUCAGAAAGCCACGGCUAACUACGUGCCAGCAGCCGCGGUAAUACGUAAGUGGCAAGCGUUAUCCGGAAUUAUUGGGCGUAAAGCGCGCGUAGCGGUUUUUUAGUCUGAUGUGAAAGCCCACGGCUCAACUUUUGGAGGGUCAUUGGAAACUGGAAAACUUGAGUGCAGAAGAGGAAAGUGGAAUUCCAUGUGUAGCGGUGAAAUGCGCAGAGAUGUGGAGGAACACCAGUGGCGAAGGCGACUUUCUGGUCUGUAACUGACGCUGAUGUGCGAAAGCGUGGGGAUCAAACAGGAUUAGAUACCCUGGUAGUCCACGCCGUAAACGAUGAGUGCUAAGUGUUAGGGGGUUUCCGCCCCUUAGUGCUGCAGCUAACGCAUUAAGCACUCCGCCUGGGGAGUACGACCGCAAGGUUGAAACUCAAAGGAAUUGACGGGGACCCGCACAAGCGGUGGAGCAUGUGGUUUAAUUCGAAGCAACGCGAAGAACCUUACCAAAUCUUGACAUCCUUUGACAACUCUAGAGAUAGAGCCUUCCCCUUCGGGGGACAAAGUGACAGGUGGUGCAUGGUUGUCGUCAGCUCGUGUCGUGAGAUGUUGGGUUAAGUCCCGCAACGAUCGCAACCCUUAAGCUUAGUUGCCAUCAUUAAGUUGGGCACUCUAAGUUGACUGCCGGUGACAAACCGGAGGAAGGUGGGGAUGACGUCAAAUCAUCAUGCCCCUUAUGAUUUGGGCUACACACGUGCUACAAUGGACAAUACAAAGGGCAGCGAAACCGCGAGGUCAAGCAAAUCCCCUAAAGUUGUUCUCAGUUCGGAUUGUAGUCUGCAACUCGACUACAUGAAGCUGGAAUCGCUAGUAAUCGUAGAUCAGCAUGCUACGGUGAAUACGUUCCCGGGUCU